UUUUUGGAGAGUUUGAUCCUGGCUCAGGAUGAACGCUGGCGGCGUGCCUAAUACAUGCAAGUCGAGCGGUAACACUUCGGGUGACGAGCGGCGGACGGCUGAGUAACGCGUAGGAACAUGCCCUAAAGUGAGGGAUAAGCACCGGAAACGGUGUCUAAUACCGCAUAUGGUCUUCGGAUUAAAGUCUUCGGACGCU
rnacentral:rRNA from 1 species